rnacentral:rRNA from 1 species
UACGUAGGGGGCUAGCGUUGUCCGGAAUCAUUGGGCGUAAAGCGCGUGUAGGCGGUCCGGUAAGUCCGCUGUGAAAGUCGGGGGCUCAACCCUCGAAAGCCGGUGGAUACUGUCGGGCUCGAGUACGGAAGAGGCGAGUGGAAUUCCUGGUGUAGCGGUGAAAUGCGUAGAUAUCAAGAGGAACACCUGAGGUGAAGACGGGUUGCUGGGCUGACACUGACGCUGAUGCGCGAAAGCCAGGGGAGCAAACGGG